rnacentral:rRNA from 1 species
UACGGAGGGUGCAAGCGUUGUCCGGAUUUAUUGGGUUUAAAGGGUGCGUAGGCGGCUCUUUAAGUCAGUGGUGAAAGCCGACAGCUUAACUGUCGAAAUGCCAUUGAUACUGGGGAGCUUGAGUACAGUAGAGGUAGGCGGAAUUAAUGGUGUAGCGGUGAAAUGCAUAGAUACCAUUAAGAACACCGAUGCGAAGGCAGCUUACUAUAGUGUAACUGACGCUGAGGCACGAAAGUGUGGGGAUCAAAGCAGG